rnacentral:rRNA from 1 species
GACGAACGCUGGCGGCGUGCUUAACACAUGCAAGUCGAACGGAAAGGCCCUGCUUUUGUGGGGUGCUCGAGUGGCGAACGGGUGAGUAACACGUGAGUAACCUGCCCUUGACUUUGGGAUAACUUCAGGAAACUGGGGCUAAUACCGGAUAGGAGCUCCUGCUGCAUGGUGGGGGUUGGAAAGUUUCGGCGGUUGGGGAUGGACUCGCGGCUUAUCAGCUUGUUGGUGGGGUAGUGGCUUACCAAGGCUUUGACGGGUAGCCGGCCUGAGAGGGUGACCGGCCACAUUGGGACUGAGAUACGGCCCAGACUCCUACGGGAGGCAGCAGUGGGGAAUAUUGCACAAUGGGCGGAAGCCUGAUGCAGCAACGCCGCGUGCGGGGUGACGGCCUUCGGGUUGUAAACCGCUUUCGCCUGUGACGAAGCGUGAGUGACGGUAAUGGGUAAAGAAGCACCGGCUAACUACGUGCCAGCAGCCGCGGUGAUACGUAGGGUGCGAGCGUUGUCCGGAUUUAUUGGGCGUAAAGGGCUCGUAGGUGGUUGAUCGCGUCGGAAGUGUAAUCUUGGGGCUUAACCCUGAGCGUGCUUUCGAUACGGGUUGACUUGAGGAAGGUAGGGGAGAAUGGAAUUCCUGGUGGAGCGGUGGAAUGCGCAGAUAUCAGGAGGAACACCAGUGGCGAAGGCGGUUCUCUGGGCCUUUCCUGACGCUGAGGAGCGAAAGCGUGGGGAGCGAACAGGCUUAGAUACCCUGGUAGUCCACGCUGUAAACGGUGGGUACUAGGUGUGGGGUCCAUUCCACGGGUUCCGUGCCGUAGCUAACGCUUUAAGUACCCCGCCUGGGGAGUACGGCCGCAAGGCUAAAACUCAAAGGAAUUGACGGGGCCCCGCACAAGCGGCGGAGCAUGCGGAUUAAUUCGAUGCAACGCGUAGAACCUUACCUGGGUUUGACAUGGAUCGGGAGCGCUCAGAGAUGGGUGUGCCUCUUUUGGGGUCGGUUCACAGGUGGUGCAUGGCUGUCGUCAGCUCGUGUCGUGAGAUGUUGGGUUAAGUCCCGCAGCGAGCGCAACCCUUGUUCACUGUUGCCAGCACGUUAUGGUGGGGACUCAGUGGAGACCGCCGGGGUCAACUCGGAGGAAGGUGGGGAUGACGUCAAGUCAUCAUGCCCCUUAUGUCCAGGGCUUCACGCAUGCUACAAUGGCUGGUACAGAGAGUGGCGAGCCUGUGAGGGUGAGCGAAUCUCGGAAAGCCGGUCUCAGUUCGGAUUGGGGUCUGCAACUCGACCUCAUGAAGACGGAGUCGCUAGUAAUCGCAGAUCAGCAACGCUGCGGUGAAUACGUUCCCGGGGCU